rnacentral:rRNA from 1 species
UACGGGGGGUGCAAGCGUUGUCCGGAAUCAUUGGGCGUAAAGCGUUCGUAGGCGGCAAGGUAAGUCUGAUGUUAAAGCCCGGGGCUCAACUCCGGGACUGCUUUUGAAACUGUGUGACUGGAGUGCAGGAGAGGUAAGCGGAAUUCCUGGUGUAGCGGUGAAAUGCGUAGAUAUCAGGAGGAACACCAGUGGCGAAGGCGGCUUACUGGACUGUAACUGACGUUGAGGCUCGAAAGCGUGGGGAGCAAACAGG